rnacentral:rRNA from 1 species
GAUCAUGGCUCAGGAUGAACGCUGGCGGCGUGCUUAACACAUUCAAGUCGAACGGAGAACGGGGAGCUUGCUCCCCGGGAUCAGUGGCGGACGGGUGAGUAACGCGUAAGCAACCUGCCUGUGUGUGGGGGAUAACACCCGGGAAACGGGUGCUAAUACCGCAUAACGCAACGGAGCCGCAUGACUUUGUUGCAAAGAAUAUAUUGCGCACAGAUGGGCUCGCGUCUGAUUAGAUAGUUGG